rnacentral:sRNA from 1 species
GGACUAAUGUUUUGGAGUAUGCCUAAUUCUGUAGCAUUUUCUUAUCAUGUUCUAGUAUUCUUACUGCCUUAACAUAAAAUUACAUACAUUGCAUUAUGAAAACCCACAGCCAGUCUUGCAUAAGCUCACUAAUCAUAAGCCAACUCAUUUAACUUUGCUGGUUUUCAUGGAUAUUUAAGAUAACACGCAGUUGUUUAAGCACUUACUUGAUUGGUUGGACUUUUUGCACAAAAAUGUGAAAGAGCCAAUGGGAAUAGGGCAUAAAGUUUCAAAAGAGUGGGAAAAGUUCAAAGUUAGUCAUUUCCUUGGUCAAUAAACGUUUGUGAGACUGCCCAAGGGUUUCUGGCGAUGCAUACAUUGAUGUGUGUACUACACAAGGAAAUUUCCACAUCGUUCACUCUCCAAUUCGUGUGUUUAGCCAGUCAGGAUACAUCAGUACACCCCUUAGCCCCUUCCAUCAGGAUUUCGGACUGGGUCUGUAUUUUCUGUCUAUAUAGGUGUUUAUGUUUUAUUAUAUCUGUCCCGUAAUCGGCCCAUCCAGGAUUUUAGAUGUACAUGCAUUUGUCUAGUUUUGUUUUCUGUUGUCCAUGUGCAAUAAGCUAUACACACAAUGUUAUUCUUUAUGGAAUGUUAUUGAGAAUUCAAGUCUCACUGGACAUUGGGAUUUUACCAAGAAAUCUACCAUGACUUUAUUAAUCAUAAGCUUAUCUACUAGGAUAAUUUACUGGAGAAAAAAACACAAAUUCUCAGGUAAAUGCUAAUAGUUCAGUGCUGGUUGUAACAUGCUAUAUAAAAUUGGCUAAUCACAUUUUUUAUAUGUUAUGAUAUGUUUUCUACAUUAUAAUAUGAUGUACGUACAAACCAUAAUAAAUCACAUUAAAAUUAUGUAGAGUUAAAAUUGAUAAUCAUUUUUUGAGGACAAUUGUCUUAUGCUAUAAUAUGUAAGUCACAAGGAAUGAAUUUUAUUUUAAUCUGUGUAUAUAUGAACAAUAUGUGUAAAAAAAAUUCUUCCUAUAAAAACCAAGUGAAUAAGUAACACUUGGAGAAAGUUGGUAAUAAAGAAUAGGGUACAUGCUCUAAAUUCCAAACGUCUAGUAUAGUUGUUGGCAGGAAUCAUAUUGUACGAGCCACAAGUUUUAAGGGAAAAAAUACUAUUUGAUUUUUUUAACACUUGUUACAUGUAUUAAAAAAAAAUACAAGAGACU